rnacentral:lncRNA from 1 species
AAUACAAUUACCAAGUUAUUCAACAUGGAAGGCUUUGCCAAGACAGUGGUGGCUGGGAUUUGACCCUCUAAGUGUGAGGACAUCACUUCAGCCCCAGGGUUGGAUUAAUUAAGGCCUGCAUGCACACUCCUCCUCCCAUCCUGAGAAUGAUGGUAAAGGUCACAGCUACUAAAACCACAAAGGCCUCAAUGACAUCCUAUUUCAGUGUUAGAAUUCCAAGAAGGCUUUUGUUAAAAUAAACA